AGAGUUUGAUCAUGGCUCAGGACGAACGCUGGCGGCGUGCUUAACACAUGCAAGUCGAGCGGAAAGGCCCUUCGGGGUACUCGAGCGGCGAACGGGUGAGUAACACGUGGGCAACCUGCCCCUAGCUCUGGGAUAACUCCGGGAAACCGGUGCUAAUACCGGAUAUGACCUCAAAUGGCAUCCUUUGAGGUGGAAAGAUUCAUUGGCUAGGGAUGGGCCCGCGGCCUAUCAGCUUGUUGGUGGGGUAAUGGCCUACCAAGGCGACGACGGGUAGCCGGCCUGAGAGGGCGACCGGCCACACUGGGACUGAGACACGGCCCAGACUCCUACGGGAGGCAGCAGUGGGGAAUAUUGCGCAAUGGGCGAAAGCCUGACGCAGCGACGCCGCGUGAGGGAUGACGGCCUUCGGGUUGUAAACCUCUUUCAGCAGGGACGAAGCGCAAGUGACGGUACCUGCAGAAGAAGCGCCGGCCAACUACGUGCCAGCAGCCGCGGUA
rnacentral:rRNA from 1 species